CUUGCUCAUCUCCUCCCUGAAGAAGCUACGGUUCCCGUAGUAAAUAGGCCCGUUGUAUGUCAGGAUCUUCACUCCAGUUCAGAGGCACCACAGUUUUUCAGCAAAGGGGAUGGAAAAUGUACCUUUGUGUGCGGCAGAUGACGGUCAUCAUCGAGAAAACCACUCCGAUAGCGAGGCCAAGAUCCACGUUCAAUACCACUACAGAGAGCCAGCCUCACCAAGUCAAUCUUGCUGAUUCUCCACAGUUCAGACACACACAUAAAAACACACCUUUGGUAGGAAGUAGAAGAGCGGGCCAAUCAGCAGCAGGACAAUCAGGACAACCAGACUUGUGAACAAGCCGGACAGCUGCAGGAACACACAUGACAAACAUCCUUACUGGAAAUCGU